rnacentral:rRNA from 1 species
CCUACGGGGGGCUGCAGUGGGGAAUAUUGGACAAUGGGCGAAAGCCUGAUCCAGCCAUGCCGCGUGUGUGAAGAAGGCCUUCGGGUUGUAAAGCACUUUCAGUGGGGAAGAAAGCCUUGGGGCUAAUACCCUCGAGGAAGGACAUCACCCACAGAAGAAGCACCGGCUAACUCCGUGCCAGCAGCCGCGGUAAUACGGAGGGUGCGAGCGUUAAUCGGAAUUACUGGGCGUAAAGCGCGCGUAGGCGGUCUGAUAAGCCGGUUGUGAAAGCCCCGGGCUCAACCUGGGAACGGCAUCCGGAACUGUCAGGCUAGAGUGCAGGAGAGGAAGGUAGAAUUCCCGGUGUAGCGGUGAAAUGCGUAGAGAUCGGGAGGAAUACCAGUGGCGAAGGCGACCUUCUGGACUGACACUGACGCUGAGGUGCGAAAGCGUGGGUAGCAAACAGGAUUAGAUACCCGAGUAGUC